CUCUUUGAAUCUUUUUGCUGGCAUGACUCAAGUGGGCUUAGGUGAGACUCCUACAGCGGGGCAACUAGUGGGACUCUAGCUUGCCGAGGUUAUCUACUAUCUUCUACAUUCAGCUAUCAACCCUCCAUCACCAUUUGCACCUACACCUCCCUCA